ACCCAGACUCCUACGGGAGGCAGCAGUGAGGAAUAUUGGUCAAUGGGCGCGAGCCUGAACCAGCCAAGUCGCGUGAGGGAUGACGGUCCUACGGAUUGUAAACCUCUUUUGCCGGGGAGCAAGCGUGCGUUCGUGAACGCACGUCGAGAGUACCCGGAGAAAAAGCAUCGGCUAACUCCGUGCCAGCAGCCGCGGUAAUACGGAGGAUGCGAGCGUUAUCCGGAUUUAUUGGGUUUAAAGGGUGCGUAGGCGGUCCGUUAAGUCAGCGGUAAAAUUGCGGGGCUCAACCCCGUCGAGCCGUUGAAACUGGCAGACUUGAGUUGGCGAGAAGUACGCGGAAUGCGCGGUGUAGCGGUGAAAUGCAUAGAUAUCACGCAGAACCCCGAUUGCGAAGGCAGCAUACCGGCGCGCAACUGACGCUCAUGCACGAAAGCGUGGGUAUCGAACAGGAUUAGAUACCCCCGUACUG
rnacentral:rRNA from 1 species